AAAAUAAUGGUCACCCGAGGUGU
rnacentral:miRNA from 1 species